GCCUGGCUGGCUCAGUCAGUAGAGCAUGCGACUCUUGAUCUCGGGUCUGUGAGUUCAAGCCUCACGUUGGGCA
rnacentral:tRNA from 1 species